UACGGGGGGAGCAAGCGUUGUUCGGAUUUACUGGGCGUAAAGGGCGCGUAGGCGGCCACCGCAAGUCGAUUGUGAAAUCUCCGGGCUUAACCCGGAAAGGUCAACCGAUACUGCGGGGCUAGAGUGCAGAAGGGGCAACUGGAAUUCUCGGUGUAGCGGUGAAAUGCGUAGAUAUCGAGAGGAACACCUGCGGCGAAGGCGGGUUGCUGGGCUGACACUGACGCUGAUGCGCGAAAGCCAGGGGAGCGAACGGG
rnacentral:rRNA from 1 species